rnacentral:rRNA from 1 species
CUAACAAGGAUUCCCCCAGUAACGGCGAGUGAAGCGGGAAUAGCUCAAAUUUGAAAUCUCCGACGCUUGCGUCGGCGAGUUGUAGUUGCGAGAAGCACUUUCUCGGCGGAUCGGGCGUGCCUAAGUUGCUUGGAACAGUACGUCGCAGAGGGUGACAACCCCGUCUGUGGCACGGCCGGCCGCUCACGAUGUGCUUUCGAAGAGUCGGGUUGUUCGGGAAUGCAGCCCAAAACGGGUGGUAAACUCCAUCUAAAGCUAAAUAUUGACGUGAGACCGAUAGCGAACAAGUACCGUGAGGGAAAGAUGAAAAGAACUUUGAAAAGAGAGUUAAAAAGUACGUGAAACCGUUGGAAGGGAAACGAAUGGACUCAGCAAUGCGCCGUUUGAGAUUCAGCCGGCCGGUUGGAUCGGCCCGGGGUUAGCGGAUCUGAAUGGACCGCGGUCUCGGGCUCGUUUCUCCCGGCCGUCGCACUUCUCUUGGGCGCACGUCAACGUCGGUUGGGACUGGGUCUCAAAGGUUCCGGGAAGGUAGGUCCGCCAGCCCGGUUCUCUUGCGGCUCGGGCCCGACCGAGGUGGUUUUGCAGCGCAUGCCUCUUUUGGCUAGGGUCCCGUCCGUCCGGCCGGUUGUCGACCGCGGUGGACUGCUUGCAGUGCUCCGCGACUGCUGCCGGUCGUUUGGGUGGUGAUCUCGUACCAUGCGCUAAGGAUGUUGGCGGUCAUAUGGGUCC